CUACGGGUCGCACCAGUGGGGAAUAUUGGACAAUGGGGGAAACCCUGAUCCAGCAAUGCCGCGUGUGUGAAGAAGGCCUGCGGGUUGUAAAGCACUUUCGGUUGGGAGGACUGCUUCUAGCACUAAUAUUGUUGGAAGUUGACGUUACCUUCAGAAGAAGCACCGGCUAACUCCGUGCCACAGCCGCGGUAAUACGGGAGGGUGCAGGCGUUAAUCGGAAUUACUGGGCGUAAAGCGCGCGUAGGCGGCUAGAUCAGUCGGGUGUGAAAGCCCCGGGCUUAACCUGGGAACUGCAUCCGAUACUGUCUAGCUUGAGUACAGGAGAGGAGAGUGGAAUUCCACAUGUAGCGGUGAAAUGCGUAGAUAUGUGGAGGAACACCAAUGGCGAAGGCAGCUCUCUGGCCUGAUACUGACGCUGAGGUGCGAAAGCGUGGGGAGCAAACAGGAUUAGAUACCCCCGUAGUC
rnacentral:rRNA from 1 species